ensembl:lncRNA
UCCCUAGAUGCGGACUCCCUUUGCCUCUCAGCAUCCCUUCCUUCUUCAUCUGCAUAUAUAUUAUCUUGAUCCCUUUUAUCCCAGUAGAUCUACUGCCUUUGGUGGGGCUGACUGGAACGCUGCGGACUGUGACCAGUCUCUUAAAAAGAAGAACAAAAAGAGGAAGACCCUGAGUGGAUCCUCGGACAAAGCGCUUUGGGCUCGGCGUGAAGGGACGCGCGGGAGAGCUGGCAGGGGAGAACGAGUGGUCCCCCGUGCCGAAGGGCGCCCGCCGGGCGUGCGGACCUCUGAGGCUAUUCGUCUUGAAUUUUUUUCAGCCUUUUGGGACCCAGCGCAUUAGACAAGAGUGACCUUUUAAAUCUGUGCCCACGCUUUACCUGCGAGAGGACUGCAGCAGCCGAGUUCCGGAAGGCUGAUUCCCCAGAUCCCGACCCCGGACCCCGGCAGCUCGCCCCUGCGGCACGCCCGGCCCGGCUGCGCCAGGACUCAGCGAGCGAGGAAAAAGCCUGGAUCCGAAAGGAUGCGGGAGAACAAAGAGCCUUUGGAAGACGUCGCUGUUAUCUCAUUGUCUGUGUGAUUGGGGGAGCUGCGGUAGGGAGGAUGCUGUGGUCCUUUUUCUCCCUGCUCUCCCCCACCCCCACGUCUCUCCCCGCUGUCAGUGCGCACGCACACGCGCCGCUUUUUACUUGUUUUUCCUUGUUUUCUCAUUCCAUCUUCUCCCCAUCCCCCUUCCUUUCUUCC